rnacentral:rRNA from 1 species
ACGUAGGUGGCAAGCGUUGUCCGGAUUUAUUGGGCGUAAAGCGAGCGCAGGCGGUUUCUUAAGUCUGAUGUGAAAGCCUUCGGCUUAACCGGAGAUGUGCAUUGGAAACUGGAAGACUUGAGUGCAGAAGAGGAGAGUGGAACUCCAUGUGUAGCGGUGAAAUGCGUAGAUAUAUGGAAGAACACCAGUGGCGAAAGCGGCUCUCUGGUCUGUAACUGACGCUGAGGUUCGAAAGCAUGGGUAGCGAACAGGAUUAGAUACCCUGGUAGUCCAUGCCGUAAACGAUGAAUGCUAGGUGUUGGAGGGUUUCCGCCCUUCAGUGCCGCAGCUAACGCAAUAAGCAUUCCGCCUGGGGAGUACGACCGCAAGGUUG